rnacentral:rRNA from 1 species
ACUGUUUAAUUAAAACAAAGCAUUGCGAUGGCUGGUGACUGGUGUUGACGCAAUGUGAUUUCUGCCCAGUGCUCUGAAUGUCAAAGUGAAGUAAUUCAUCCAAGCGCGGGUAAACGGCGGGAGUAACUAUGACUCUGACGCAAAUGGCGCUCUUGGUUAAUACCGGGAGCAUGUCUGUCUGAG